UCUGGAUAGGCCACUCAGAGAGACUCUUUGAGGGAAAGGAAAGCAUCAGCACAACCACAUUAAUGGAAAUUAGUUUCACUUGAAUUAAGAAGACUCCAAUGUUGAUUGACUUUAUCCUAAAUUUUUGACACUAUUCACAACAAUGUCGGUAAACAUUAUUCAAGUAAAGGCCUGGGCUCUAAGCCCCAUGAUGGUUCUCAUUACAGUCCUGUAGUUCACUACACUAGUAGGAGGGCUAGUAACACACUCGGGUAUUUCAGUGGAAUAAAACCCAUAAGUUGUUCAGUAAAUGUCUAUCUGUCCCUUUAUAAUACAAAAACAAAAAUGAAACAACCGCAACAA